AAUCCCAUCACAAACCAGACCACACAUCUGGACAUCAGCAAACUCUGUCAACCAUGUUCAGAUUUGGUGAAGCUGUGAUCCGAUUGGUCCUCUUUGCUCGGGUGGGCGUGGCUACUGUCCUUGUUCGUGACAUCAGAUCCAGGACUGAAUAAUAUUAAGCACAUAUGAUAAUGUGAUUUCAGUGAUUGACAUGUAAAUAAUUGAAUCUCCAUUUAUUUAUAAUGGCUUUAUAUAUUCACCUCCUGGUAUCAAUGUUCAUUUCCACUCUAAAAGAUGAUUUCAAAAACGCUUGAUGGCUUGUUAAACCUGUUGUGAUCAGAUUUUUUCACAGCUAAUGUGGUGUGACGUUUGAUGCAUACUAUGUGUGAUUCUUUUGUGAUGUGAUGCCAGUUUAAUAUACCACAGAAUGCUAAUAACUGAACAUCAUCUCAGUCUGUGAAUGUUUCUCCUUUCAGCAGUGCAUCCGUCAAGGCAAAAGUCUCAGGUAAUCAAAUGUGAUUUUUUCAAAAUGAACAAUUACAUUUACAGUUUACUUAAUGUUUUCAUUCAUUUACACUCAUUGUACAACACAAGAAAACAUUAUAAAUGUGAUUCACUGGUUUUUGAGUCAAAUGGA